rnacentral:rRNA from 1 species
GCCAAGCUUGCUUGGUGGAUCAGUGGCGAACGGGUGAGUAACACGUGAGCAACCUGCCCUGGACUCUGGGAUAAGCGCUGGAAACGGCGUCUAAUACUGGAUAUGAGCUCUCAUCGCAUGGUGGGGGUUGGAAAGAUUUUUCGGUCUGGGAUGGGCUCGCGGCCUAUCAGCUUGUUGGUGAGGUAAUGGCUCACCAAGGCGUCGACGGGUAGCCGGCCUGAGAGGGUGACCGGCCACACUGGGACUGAGACACGGCCCAGACUCCUACGGGAGGCAGCAGUGGGGAAUAUUGCACAAUGGGCGGAAGCCUGAUGCAGCAACGCCGCGUGAGGGAUGACGGCCUUCGGGUUGUAAACCUCUUUUAGCAGGGAAGAAGCGAGAGUGACGGUACCUGCAGAAAAAGCGCCGGCUAACUACGUGCCAGCAGCCGCGGUAAUACGUAGGGCGCAAGCGUUAUCCGGAAUUAUUGGGCGUAAAGAGCUCGUAGGCGGUUUGUCGCGUCUGCUGUGAAAUCCCGAGGCUCAACCUCGGGCCUGCAGUGGGUACGGGCAGACUAGAGUGCGGUAGGGGAGAUUGGAAUUCCUGGUGUAGCGGUGGAAUGCGCAGAUAUCAGGAGGAACACCGAUGGCGAAGGCAGAUCUCUGGGCCGUAACUGACGCUGAGGAGCGAAAGGGUGGGGAGCAAACAGGCUUAGAUACCCUGGUAGUCCACCCCGUAAACGUUGGGAACUAGUUGU